GGCAAAUUUGGCAUGUGAUACCUUUUCGGAAAGCCCAAAGACAGCCCUCCGGCGAAAGAAGCAGGACAAUGGAACUCUUCCAUUGACUUUUUGUCGACCCCAAAUUUUGACCUUUAAGUACUUUUUCGGGCAUUUUCGUGAUUUGGGCUAUAUUACGGACCCAAAAUUACUUGUUCAAGCAUUGUUUUCGAAUUUUUUCAUGCAUCAAAGCUCGUUAAGACUAGAUGGGGUAUCCCUACAUAGCGGGUGGGACCCACGGCGAAUGGUUCAUCAAGUCUUCAAAAAAGAAUAUAUACGAUUGCAUUGCAUAUACUAACGGAUGCGAUCAUACCAGCACUAAUGCACCGGAUCCCAUCAGAACACUGCAGCUAAGCGUGCUUGGGCGAGAGCAGUACUAGGAUGGGUGACCUCCCGGGAAGUCCUCGUGUUGCAUCCCUCUUUGAUGUUUAACCUUUUUUUUUUUGGUUAAAACUUUAUGACUCCAUAACUUCUAAACGG
rnacentral:rRNA from 1 species